UACGUAGGGUGCAAGCGUUGUCCGGAAUUAUUGGGCGUAAAGAGCUCGUAGGCGGUCUGUCACGUCGGCUGUGAAAACCCGAGGCUCAACCUCGGGCCUGCAGUCGAUACGGGCAAACUAGAGUACUGCAGGGGGGGACUGGAAUUCCUGGUGUAGCGGUGAAAUGCGCAGAUAUCAGGAGGAACACCGGUGGCGAAGGCGGGUCUCUGGGCAGUAACUGACGCUGAGGAGCGAAAGCGUGGGGGAGCGAACAGG
rnacentral:rRNA from 1 species